rnacentral:rRNA from 1 species
UACAGAGGGGGCAAGCGUUGUUCGGAAUUACUGGGCGUAAAGGGCGCGUAGGCGGCCCGCUAAGUCGAACGUGAAAUCCCUGGGCUCAACCCAGGAACUGCGUCCGAUACUGGCGGGCUUGAAUCCGGGAGAGGGAUGUGGAAUUUCCGGUGUGGCGGUGAAAUGCGUAGAUAUCGGAAGGAACAUCAGUGGCGAAAGCGACUUCCUGGUCCAGCAUCGACGUUCAGGCACGAAAGCGUGGGGAGCAAACAGG